UGAUACCAAAGGUCUCCGAACUCGUAUGCACGUUAUGCUUGCAUAAAAGUGCUUGCGAGUUUGAGAGACCUGCAACAAUAUGAGCAUAAAAGCUAAGGCGCAGCCUUGCGAUAUGCGAAUAUUGUGUAGGA
rnacentral:sRNA from 1 species